rnacentral:rRNA from 1 species
GUAGAAUUUACCAAAAGGACUGGGACAACCACUGGAAACGGUGGCUAAUACCGGAUGAACCGAAAAGUAAAAAGGGAAACCUGCCUUUUGAAGAGCUCGCGUCUGAUUAGCUAGUUGGUGAGGUAAGAGCUCACCAAGGCAGCGAUCAGUAGCUGGUCUGAGAGGAUGACCAGCCACACUGGGACUGAGACACGGCCCAGACUCCUACGGGAGGCAGCAGUGGGGAAUUUUCCGCAAUGGGCGAAAGCCUGACGGAGCAAUACCGCGUGAGGGAAGAAGGCUCUUGGGUCGUAAACCUCUUUUAUCAGGGAAGAAAAAAAUGACGGUACCUGAAGAAUCAGCCUCGGCUAACUCCGUGCCAGCAGCCGCGGUAAUACGGAGGAGGCAAGCGUUAUCCGGAAUUAUUGGGCGUAAAGCGUCCGCAGGUGGCUUAUCAAGUCUGCUGUCAAAGAGUGGGGCUUAACCCCAUUAAGGCAGUGGAAACUGAGAAGCUAGAGUGCCGUAGGGGUAGAGGGAAUUCCCGGUGUAGCGGUGAAAUGCGUAGAGAUCGGGAAGAACAUCGGUGGCGAAAGCGCUCUACUGGACGGCAACUGACACUCAGGGACGAAAGCUAGGGGAGCGAAAGGGAUUAGAUACCCCU